rnacentral:rRNA from 1 species
UACGUAGGGGGCUAGCGUUGUCCGGAAUCAUUGGGCGUAAAGCGCGUGUAGGCGGUUCGGUAAGUCCGCUGUGAAAGUCGGGGGCUCAACCCUCGAAUGCCGGUGGAUACUGUCGAACUAGAGUGCGGAAGGGGCGAGUGGAAUUCCUGGUGUAGCGGUGAAAUGCGCAGAUAUCAGGAGGAACACCAAUUGCGAAGGCAGCUCGCUGGGACGUUACUGACGCUGAGACGCGAAAGCGUGGGGAGCAAACAGG